rnacentral:misc_RNA from 1 species
GAUGAAGAACGUAGCGAAAUGCGAUAAGUAAUGCGAAUUGCAGAAUUUCCGUGAAUCAUCGAAUCUUUGAACGCACAUUGCGCCCGCCAGUAUUCUGGCGGGCAUGCCUGUUCGAGCGUCAUUUCAACCAUCAAGCCCCCGGCUUGUGUUGGGGACCUGCGGCUGCCGCAGGCCCUGAAAACCAGUGGCGGGCUCGCUAGUCACUCCGAGCGUAGUAAUACAUCUCGCUCAGGGCGUGCUGCGGGUUCCGGCCGUUAAAAAGCCUUAUUUACCCAAGGUUGACCUCGGAUCAGGUAGGAAGACCCGCUGAACUUAAGCAUAUCAAUAAGCGGAGGA